GGGGUAUAGCUCAGCUGGGAGAGUGCUUGACUGGCAGUCAAGAGGUCACGGGUUCGAACCCCGUUAUCUCC
rnacentral:tRNA from 1 species